rnacentral:sRNA from 1 species
UGCACCUGGCGUGACGAGCCGGGAACCCCU